GACUGGAUGCAAAGCUUCAAUCUUUGACAGACUCGAUCCCGCCGGCACAACAGGACUAACAUCAGGAUCGUGACCUGUAUUCUUCAUAAGUUGGGGGAGAUGGGUAAUGGCAAUGGUGCCAUAGACAAUGUAGAUGAUGCCGUAGUCGAGGAGGAGGUAGAUAUUUCUGGCCUUGGUUUUCUCUUGGAAAGGCUCAACCUACUUUUAUCGGCACAUUAACAACUUCUAUUCGGAUUUACCAGCUACUGAUCAUUCUAGCUCAUUAAGAGGCGUGUGCACAUUUUUGAAACAGAUCAUUCUAACUCUCCUAGGAAAUCAACACUACAGAUCCUGCUGAUGAGUUUUUGUGUCCUUCUCAUUUUGUAUGUUUGCUUUUUAAAAUUUCUCCACCAUCUUCCCUUCUUAUUUAUUAGGAUAAGCUCACAUUCUUUGGAGGAUUUUGGAACUACUUCAGCCUGGGUAAGCAUUUUCCCUACUACUUUUCUGUAUAAGUUGGUGGACUUAAUGGCAGAGUUGAGAUGAGAAGAUCAGGGGAGGCUAGGGCAUGGUGAUGGGGAAGAUAGAGGACUUAAAAAAUUACCAAUAUAGAAGUAACUGAAGAAAACCAGAGAAAACUGAGAAAGAGAUAGAAAGCUCAAAGAGAUAUUUUCAUUGCAUUGUCAAAUCUGUUACAACUGAUCAUAUUUAUACACAAAGAUUCAUAACUUAAUUCCCGAAAACUAGGGAAAGAAUCGUUUACAUAGUUCUAGAAGGUGCAAUGGAAAUGCUAUGGUUUUCUAGAAGAGGUUAUAACAGAAUGGCUGGAGCUGUGAUUCACUUUUUCUUUGCCUUCAUGAGGGGUGGUCUGGUGUGACAGCAGCCUAUGAUCAAUAUUCAAUAGUAACAGAGUUGAUGUAGUUGACACUAAAAGCUGAAAAAAUAUGGGUUGAAGACUUAAAUACAACUCACCUCAUCAGUCAGGGACUACUUGUAUAGUUUAUAUUUUGAUCAUGGCUUUUGUUAUAUAACUGAGUAUAAGUACAUUUUCUUGUAAAAUUCUUUUAUCUUCUAUAGAGUAUGUUGCUGCCCGAGGAUGUGGAAAUCACUGCUUUCAACCUAUUCAAAGGUUAGAUAUCUCUCUUCUAUUUUUUUGCUUUCUAUGUCAAAGAUGUAGGUAAUAUUGAUUAAUUUGCAAGUAAUUUAUGACAUCGUAUCCUAGUCAUAUAAGGUAUUAGUAUAUAUGUAUAUAGUUUACUAAUAGUACUAUUCCUUUUCCCUGGCAUGACCUUAUCAUCAGUUGCAAGUAUAAAGGUCAUGAAACAACUUCGUAGCAGAGAGACCUGAUUUUGUCUGUCAUUGAUGAUGAACAUCUUGAAAUUAUUGGUUACAAAUUCUUUCCUCAAAGUGAAGAAUCGAUUCACCUUGACCAGGUUAUACAUCAUCUUAAACUUAUUUGUAAAUCGCUUCUUUGAGUUCUUUCCUUUUAUCCUGUUUUUGAUUGCAGAGUGCUAUUGACUAAGUAUGUAUUGGUGGCGAGCCUGUUGCAUUAUUUUUAGAACAAAGCUUGGAUUUUGUGUUUUAGGUCAACCAUCCGCCUUAGCGUUUCUUUGUUUCAAUUUGUGAGCACUUUCAGUUUAAUAUCUAAAAGCAGGUGAGAUUUCUUUGUCUUCCAAGUUUGACAUGCCUGCAUUGCAUGCUAGUAGUCAAACUCGUCAUGUGUUCUUUGUACCUGUGCAUGUCAUUACCUUGAACUGGUAAUCAGUCCUGCUGCUAUAAUCUGAUAUUCCAAUUGUUUCAAGUAGCUGCUCUAUCUUGCAAGGACAUAUGUUAUCGACUCGUUAAUCUGAAGGUUCUUGAAUUCCCACCAGUGUGCUACCAAUUGAACUCAUUAUGACGUUGUAGCUAGUUAGCAUUGCAGCCGGUUUAUUUUGAAUUCCCAAUUGAAGUUGAAUAUUUAUUUGAUUUCUUGCAUAAACUCAAAAAGGUGAUCCUAUUGCUAGGUAUGGGGACUUCGUUUCGAGUUUAUUGAUGGUGAAGAAGAGGUUGUGAAGGCCCGGGGAUCCAAGAAAGGAUGGGCAUGGGGACGUGGGAAGGCCCGGGGACGUGGCGCGAGCCAGAGUGGACGUGGCCUGAUUGCUCCAUCUCCGCAAUCAAGCUGUGCCAUACAGUGUGAAGCAUCUGCCAAACCAAAUACAAAGGGCCCGAGAAUGCCAGACGGGACUAGGGGUUUCACCAUGGGAAGAGGCAAGCCUUAAAGAGUGAUGGAUGGUGGUUCAUUUUUGUUCUGGUCUACUUAGUUACUAGUACAUGUCUGGCUCUGUCUUCCCUGCGAGUGUUGGAAAAAAGGGGAAGUGGAUUUUGUGGCUAUUAAAUGUGUAAUGGAUUAUACCUGGUGUUGCUGAUUUUGUUGGUUUAUUCGGUGAUGUAUAAUAUGUGGUAAAGUGUGGGAAUAGCUCACCAUUUUUUGUUUCUCAUCUUUUAUAGAGCUACUUUGCAUUUUCCAUGGGAAUUCAGUUCUUUUUGUACA